rnacentral:rRNA from 1 species
AUUGAACGCUGGCGGCAUGCUUUACACAUGCAAGUCGAACGGCAGCGCGGGCUUCGGCCUGGCGGCGAGUGGCGAACGGGUGAGUAAUGCAUCGGAACGUGCCCAGUAGUGGGGGAUAGCCCGGCGAAAGCCGGAUUAAUACCGCAUACGACCUGAGGGUGAAAGCGGGGGACCGAAAGGCCUCGCGCUAUUGGAGCGGCCGAUGUCGGAUUAGCUAGUUGGUGGGGUAAAGGCUUACCACGGCGACGAUCCGUAGCUGGUCUGAGAGGACGACCAGCCACACUGGGACUGAGACACGGCCCAGACUCCUACGGGAGGCAGCAGUGGGGAAUUUUGGACAAUGGGGGCAACCCUGAUCCAGCCAUGCCGCGUGCGGGAAGAAGGCCUUCGGGUUGUAAACCGCUUUUGUUCGGGAAGAAAUCCUCUGGGCUAAUACCCCGGGGGGAUGACGGUACCGGAAGAAUAAGCACCGGCUAACUACGUG